rnacentral:rRNA from 1 species
GUGGUAGGAGAGCGUUCUAUUCAGCGUUGAAGGUAUACCGGUAAGGAGUGCUGGAGCGGAUAGAAGUGAGCAUGCAGGCAUGAGUAGCGAUAAAAGGGGUGAGAAUCCCCUUCGCCGUAAACCCAAGGUUUCCUACGCGAUGCUCGUCAUCGUAGGGUUAGUCGGGUCCUAAGCAAAGUCCAAAAGGGGUAUGCGAUGGAAAAUCGGUUAAUAUUCCGAUACCAAUAUUAGUGUGCGAUGGAAGGACGCUUAAAGUUAGUGGAGCUAGCGGAUGGAAGUGCUAGUCUAAGGAUGUAGAUUAAGUGGUAGGCAAAUCCGCCACUUUUUAUUCGAGAUCUUAAAGGCUCUCCAAAGUCUUCGGAUAGCGGGGAGAAUCCAUGAUACUAUCGAGCCAAGAAAAGUUUCUAAGUUUAGCUAAUAUUGCCCGUACCGUAAACCGACACAGGUGGGUGAGAUGAGUAUUCUAAGGCGCGUGGAAGAACUCUCUUUAAGGAACUCUGCAAAAUAGCACCGUAUCUUCGGUAUAAGGUGUGCCUAACUUUGUAUUAAGAUUUACUCCCAAAGCAAAGAAGGUUACAACAAAGAGUCCCUCCCGACUGUUUACCAUAAACACAGCACUCUGCUAACUCGUAAGAGGAUGUAUAGGGUGUGACGCCUGCCCGGUGCUCGAAGGUUAAUUGAUGGGGUUAGCAUUAGCGAAGCUCUUGAUCGAAGCCCGAGUAAACGGCGGCCGUAACUAUAACGGUCCUAAGGUAGCGAAAUUCCUUGUCGGUUAAAUACCGACCUGCAUGAAUGGCGUAACGAGAUGGGAGCUGUCUCAAAGAGGGAUCCAGUGAAAUUGUAGUGGAGGUGAAAAUUCCUCCUACCCGCGGCAAGACGGAAAGACCCCGUGGACCUUUACUACAGCUUGACACUGCUAUUUGGAUAAAGAUGCGCAGGAUAGGUGGGAGGCUUUGAUCCAUAGACUCCGGUUUAUGGUGAGCCAUUGUUGAGAUACCACUCUUCUUUAUUUGAGUAGCUAACUAGCUUGAGUUAUCCUCAAGUAGGACAAUGUCUGGUGGGUAGUUUGACUGGGGCGGUCGCCUCCCAAAAUGUAACGGAGGCUUACAAAGGUUGGCUCAGAACGGUUGGAAAUCGUUCGUAGAGUAUAAAGGCAUAAGCCAGCUUAACUGCGAGACAUACACGUCAAGCAGAGACGAAAGUCGGUCUUAGUGAUCCGGUGGUUCUGUGUGGAAGGGCCAUCGCUCAAAGGAUAAAAGGUACCCCGGGGAUAACAGGCUGAUCUCCCCCAAGAGCUCACAUCGACGGGGAGGUUUGGCACCUCGAUGUCGGCUCAUCGCAUCCUGGGGCUGGAGCAGGUCCCAAGGGUAUGGCUGUUCGCCAUUUAAAGCGGUACGCGAGCUGGGUUCAGAACGUCGUGAGACAGUUCGGUCCCUAUCUGCCGUGGGCGUAAGAAGAUUGAGGAGAGUUGACCCUAGUACGAGAGGACCGGGUUGAACCAGCCACUGGUGUAUCAGUUGUUCUGCCAAGAGCAUCGCUGAGUAGCUAAGCUGGGAUGUGAUAAGAGCUGAAAGCAUCUAAGCUCGAAGCCAACUCCAAGAUGAAUCUUCUUUUAAGAGCUCGGAAAGACUAUCCGUUUGAUAGGCUGGGUGUGUAAGUGAUGAGAGUCAUUUAGCUGACCAGUACUAAUAGCUCGUUUGCUUAUCUUUA